rnacentral:misc_RNA from 1 species
AUACCUUCGGUUUGACGAUUUAUUGUCUCGCCGGCGUUGGCGGUUUUGGGAUACGUGGGGCAACCCGCGCCAUUCUGCUUAAACACUGACAGCGGGGCCAAGUUUAGAACACCUUCGAUUAGUAGAAAUAUUCAUCGAAAAGGAAUUUAGACUUGCCCGCCAUACAAAAUAAAGGUGUAAAAGCCUUAUAA